GACGAACGCUGGCGGCGUGCUUAACACAUGCAAGUCGAGCGGUAAGGCCUUUCGGGGUACACGAGCGGCGAACGGGUGAGUAACACGUGGGUGAUCUGCCCCGCACUUCGGGAUAAGCCUGGGAAACUGGGUCUAAUACCGGAUAUGACCUCCUAUCGCAUGGUGGGUGGUGGAAAGAUUUAUCGGUGCAGGAUGGGCCCGCGGCCUAUCAGCUUGUUGGUGGGGUAAUGGCCUACCAAGGCGACGACGGGUAGCCGACCUGAGAGGGUGACCGGCCACACUGGGACUGAGACACGGCCCAGACGCCUACGGGAGGCAGCAGUGGGGAAUAUUGCACAAUGGGCGAAAGCCUGAUGCAGCGACGCCGCGUGAGGGAUGACGGCCUUCGGGUUGUAAACCUCUUUCAGCAGGGACGAAGCGCAAGUGACGGUACCUGCAGAAGAAGCACCGGCUAACUACGUG
rnacentral:rRNA from 1 species